rnacentral:lncRNA from 1 species
CAGCACACGUGAUCACAAAGAGGAGUCGAUGACGAUACACAAAGCAGGUGCAUCCAUCUCUGGAACGCCGAAAACGGCGCCUGCAGUAAUCCCAGCCCCCACAAUGGUAGCGAGGAAGGUCAGAUGAAAGUGUCAGAAGCGACCACAUACGAGAAGCCGGACAAGCCAAGGAAUCGCUGCGCCGCGCUCAGGACGGUGCCAUUAACGCCAAUUGCACUCAUGGAAUUCUGUAAUCUCCAACGGCAACACAUACACUAGCGAUCUCAAAUCCGCGAUUCAGGAAAGACGGGUUUCUCCUCAAUCGCUGUCAAACGAGAACUGUGCCACCCCGUUGUGUACACGUACGUAAAGAAGAGAACCGUAAUACGUCUGAAUCGUACCUGCACUCGCGCGCUGAUCAUUCUGAGUACACGCCCCUACAUGAGCGAGUGGCACACAUCACAACUGGCAUUCGCUGCACUGUUUACGAAAGCGUUGCCCCCGUGCCGAGGGUGCUGCCGAAACGGAGAGGUGAACGAACCGAACAGUGAGCAAAUCGGGGGACGAUCCUCAGAGUUUUUGGGUUGCGCACGGCAGAAAAAAAAAAGCGGAAAAAAAAGUAAAUAAAGAAAACGUCUCCACCACCACAA